GUUUUCUAUGAAGAUCAAUAGAAUACUUUCAUUCUUCCGAGGGUGAAUGUUUUCCCAUUCGGAGCAAAUUUAUGGACUCCUGAAUUGAGGAAAC